CUCAUGGUUUCACGGUAUUGCAAUGAGAACAAUUUAAAACCCUUAGCGAGAAUCAAGUGGAGGACAAGUCUGGUGCCAGCACCCGCGGUAAUUCCAGCUCCACUAGCGUAUAUUAAAGUUGUUGCAGUUAAAAAGCUCGUAGUUGAACCUCUGUCUGGGGCUAGUUUUGGCUUUGGUCAGGCUAGUUCUAGGCAUCCGCCUACAAGACUUAGAGGGCAUUCAGUUGUUCACUAGGAGGAGUAGGCAUUUUACUUUGAAAAAAUUAGAGUGUUUAAGGCAGGCAAUCGCCCGCAUAUAUUAGCAUGGAAUAAUAGAAUAGGACACUUUUCCAUUUCGUUGGUUAUUGGAAUCGUGUAAUGAUUAAUAGGGACAGUUGUGGGCAUUUGUAUUUAAUUGUCAGAGGUGAAAUUCUUGGACUUAUUAAAGACAAACUAACGCGUAAGCAUUUGCCAAGGAUGUUUUCAUUAAUCAAGAACGAAAGUUAGGGGGUCAAAGACGAUCAGAUACCGUCCUAGUCUUAACUAUAAACUAUUCCGACUCAAUGUUUGACUGGCUUAUAUAACCAGUUGAGCGUUGUAUGAGAAAUCAAAGUCUUUAGGUUCUGGGGGGAGUAUGGUUGCAAAGCUGAAACUUAAAGGAAUUGACGGAAGGGCACAACCAGGAGUGGAUUCUGCGGCUUAAUUUGACUCAACACGGGGAAACUUACCAGGUUAAAACAAUAGUGGGAUUGACAGUUUGAGAGCGCUUUCUUGAUUGGUUGGGUGGUGGUGCAUGGCCGUUCUUAGUUGGUGGAGUGAUUUGUCUGCUUAAUUGCGUUAACGAACGAGACCUUAACCUGCUUACUAGACUGGCGAUCAUCAAUCGUUAGCUCUUCUUAGAGGGACUUUGGUUGUUUUAACUCCAAGGAAGUUUGAGGCAAUAACAGGUCUGUGAUGCCCUUAGAUAUCCUGGGCCGCACGCGUCAUACAAUGACUAGUUCAGAAAGUUUUCUCCUGACCCGAAAGGGGAUGGGUAAUCUUGAUAAUACUAGUCGUGUUAGGGAUCGAUCUUCGCAAUUAUAGAUCUUGAACGAGGAAUUCCUAGUAAGCGCGGUUCAUCAGACCGUACUGAUUACGUCCCUGCUCUUUGUACACACCGCCCGUCGCUUCUACCGAGUGGGUGGUCCGGUGAGAUAAUUGAACUUCGCAGGUAACUGAGAGGAAAGAUUAUCAAACCUAUCCACCU
rnacentral:rRNA from 1 species